GGCAAUACUAACUCCCUAUAUUUUUUAUAUAAAAUUACAUAAAAUAUACAAAAAUACAAUAUCAACUUCUUUAUAAUAAAUAUUUCUCUUCUUACAAAUUAAAGAACUAAACUUCGUCAUGCUCAGGUGUCCUCCACUAUGGCCCGCUAACGACCCGUGCUGGCCCAGCGCGGGAGUAAAGUCCGGCCCGCGAGACGGCCGCUGCAUCGACGGCAAGCAAGACUACCCAUACCCGAGGCUACCCGUGUCCUACUGGUAGACAAGACAGGUUCAGCAAGCAGCGUCGCGAGGCAAUUUCCUCGCGUGGCAAAGGGUCAAUGGAGACUUGCCUCGGCCGAGGCAACGGUCGCCUUCGCGACGAUGUUCGCUUUAGAUAGCCGCCGUAUGUCUACUGGGUGUUAACGUGUCAUGAGUGGUUGAUAUAAGGGGUGUCAUCUCAUUGUAUAAUGUCAAGUGAAACAGUUUUGUAAUAAAUACAUGAAAAUUUA